rnacentral:lncRNA from 1 species
CACCCUUUUCCAUCAUCUUCUUUAGUACAUGCCAUUUGCAUCAAACGGUGCACCGUUAUUGGCAUAACAUCUGCAAUGGCAAGCUCCAUCUGUCUACUUUGAUCUGAAAAGUAUUUCUGUACGACAAAAAACUAGGGUAACUCUAUCAGAUUUCAGUGUGACUGACAAAGAUACUACUAUAGAAACAUACGCCUGAAUAAUGACCAUCCAUCUGGUUAAUAUUAUGUCUUUACUACAAAACUUUAAUGCGUAAUAUUUCUUUGAUAUAUAGGCGUGAUUAGCACGGAGGAAAUCAAUGCAAAAAUCGAUAUGUAUAUCGUUGCAUGUUCUUGUAUUGAGAGGGUUACCUCUGACGUCUAAUCCAUCCUGUGCCCGGCACAGUAGGCGGCGUGGGGGAUUUCGCUGAUUUCCUCUCAUUCUAUUCUUCGACUAGAUCCAUGUUGAUUCGGUUUUGAAACGAGGGUAUACGACUCAUGGUUGUGGAAAAGUUAUCAUCCAUGGGGACUUCACCUGUCACUGGAUCUAUCACCGAGAAUAGGGUAAGAAAAUUGUUACAUGAUCAAAAGAGGCCAUGGAAGAAGGACAUUAACGGGUAUGCGUGUGAGUAACUCACAUGUGCGGUGGACGAAACCAUUAGGGUGCGUUGCGCCGUCGUUCUCCUCCAUUUUUGCUACCGGAUGCUGGCUGUGAAGAUUGAUAUGACGG